GGGGAAUCUUCCGCAAUGGGCGAAAGCCUGACGGAGCAACGCCGCGUGAGUGAAGACGGCCUUCGGGUUGUAAAGCUCUGUUAUACGGGACGAAUAAUCUUGUGGUUAAUACCCAUAAGAAAUGACGGUACCGUAAGAGAAAGCCACGGCUAACUACGUGCCAGCAGCCGCGGUAAUACGUAGGUGGCAAGCGUUGUCCGGAAUUAUUGGGCAUAAAGGGCGCGCAGGCGGCUUCUUAAGUCUGUCUUAAAAGUGCGGGGCUUAACCCCGUGAUGGGAUGGAAACUGGGAAGCUCAGAGUAUCGGAGAGGAAAGCGGAAUUCCUAGCGUAGCGGUGAAAUGCGUAGAUAUUAGGAGGAACACCAGUGGCGAAAGCGGCUUUCUGGACGAAAACUGACGCUGAGGCGCGAAAGCCAGGGGAGCGAACGGGAUUAGAUACCCCGGUAGUCCUGGCCGUAAACGAUGGGUACUUGGUGUAGGAGGUAUCGACCCCUUCUGUGCCGGAGUUAACGCAAUAAGUACCCCGCCUGGGGAGUACGGCCGCAAGGUUG
rnacentral:rRNA from 1 species